rnacentral:rRNA from 1 species
AUUGAACGCUGGCGGCAGGCCUAAUACAUGCAAGUCGGACGCAGUUGCGAACGGGUGAGUAACGCGUAGGUAAAUGCCUAUUGGAGGGGGCUAACUACUGGAAACGAUAGCUAAUACCGCAUCCUAGUAGAUGGAACUGCGUUGUAUUAGGUAGUGGGUAGGGUAAUGGCCUCCCUAGGCGACGAUACAUAGCCGCCCUGAGAGGGUGAUCGGCCAAACUGGGAACGGUGAACGGCCCAAGCUUCUACGGGAGGGAACAGUAGGGAAACAUCGGAAAUGGGGGGAACCCUUACCGAGCAACGCCGCGGGAGGGAAGAAGGUUUUCGGGGCGGAAAGGUCUGUUGUUAAGGAAGCGGUACUUAAACAGAAAGGGACGGCUAACUACGUGCCAGCAGCCGCGGUAAUAC